AUCCUCCGAAAACCCUAGAUAUUUUUCCUUCCUCUUCCUCCUCUCUCUCUCUCCUUUCCAAUAGCAGGAGCAAUGGCUUCUGCAAUCGAAGAAUUGCGUUCCACCUCCUUCUCCUGCGAACUCCUCGCUGUCACCGGCCGCGGGCGACGUGUGUCUCGCCGAUUUGCUUCCAUCGGCCAUCUGUUGCAUCGCCUAGCAUACGCGGCGCGCACACCGAUCUCUUGUUGGUUUCGCUUUCGCCUCCCCGAUUUGCCUCCUAAAGGCCCAGCAUCAAGCUCUCCCGAGUCCUGAGCAGCGGCGGAUGGCAUCGGCGCACACGUCUCUCCAGCGGCUAAGAUCGAUGCAAGGGGUGGCGACCAGCUUGGGGCAGCAACUGCAUCUUGUGAGAAAAUUGGAUUCAGAACAUACCGAUGAUUUUCUUGCAAGUUGUGCAGUUGUUGUCUCAAGCUUGCUGCCUCCCUUUGCCAAAACUAAGAAGUGCAAUAGCAGAAUUAUGCGAUGUAAAUACAUGAAAGUAACAAAUUUCUUGACAACAGAUAUGAUGGCUAUUUACCAUGGAACAUAUUAUGAUGCAUGAUGAUAUUAAACAAAGCAGCUGGAUAAGCCGUUUUAUUGUCAUACAUGUAGGCACUAGUGUUCACUUUUGCAAUAUGGACGCUACGUAGCUACAUAUGUCUUAAAUUCUGUAGUGAGCAAAAUGUAUUUAGGAUGGCGGACGGUUAUGCACAUUUUGGUAGUGCCACAACCACUAUUUAAUGGCAAAUCAGCUCAAAGACAAAUAAAGUCAUAACAGAGUAAGUGAUCACUCAUAGCUGACAUGUUUGUUACUACAUUUGGAUAAUGUUAUUGUUUGAUUUUGCCUUUUCUCUUCUCACUUACGAGGACAGGACUUUGGGGAGCAGUCAAAGGUGCAAACUAGGAGUGGUUGCGGAUCAACACUCUGAUUGGUUCAUACAGAGAAUCCACCUUCGUUCAGAUUGGCAACGGUGAAUGUACAGCCUCGUGGAAAGAUAAAUGGACAAGCAACAAGCCAUUGCACAUUCAGUUCCCUGCUUUGUUCUCACAUACUAAUUGACCGAACAUCUUGGUCGUUGAUUGCUUUCAGAACGGAGAAUGGGUGAUACCUUUGAUGCAUAUUACUCCGGAUCGUGCUGAACAAGAAAGGUGGAAUUGCUGGCCUUCCUGAAUGCAUGCUCUCUUGACUCGCCAACUCCAGAUAGGAGAGGAUGGAAACUGAAUAUUACAGAGUCCUUCUCAGUCAAAAACAUGUAAUAUGAGUUAUGCAACUGGGGGUGGAUUGCACACUUCAGUGCCAACACAAUCUGUAGCUGUGCUGCCCCAUGAAAAGGGAAAUUAUUCGUCUGGCUCAUGAUAAAAAGAAGGAUCAAAGGUUAGGACAGUUUUGUUCAAACAACACUGGAUGAUGAACUCUGCCCCUUUGGGUGCAAAGAAAAGAAUCAGUUGAACACUUAACAUUGUACUGUCGUCGGACCAAACAAAAUCAUGGCGAUGUUCGGUAUUCAGCUGACUGGUGUUAAUGAUCUGGAUAACAUCUACUUGGAAGCAAGAGAGUGAUGUUCAGACAUGAAAAAAAUUUAUGCAUGGGGCCUGGUUAUAACGGCUGUGUACUGAGUGUCAAGAAACAGAAAGGUUUUUGACAAAAUAGUUGACAGUUGCAGUGGUGGCUAGGCAGUGCAUCGAGAUGGUGAAGACAGUGCAUGAAGAUGGUGAAGCUCUAGUCGUUCAGAGCCAAGAAAAAAAGAAAAGGAGGCUGCCACCAAAGUUUCGAUUAUGGAUUGGCAGUCCUGAUGUCUCGGUUGGCUUUUCCUUUCCUGUCUUGUUGCAUGUUACGUUCUUGCUUCUCUCCUCUAUUUCUCUAUUCCCCAACCCUCAUGUACUUCUGUAAUCUGUAAUUUUGGAGCCCUGGUGUCUCACCUUGUUUUAAUGAAAAUCAGGUAAGGACCUCCCCUCC